GACGAACCGAGCGAACGUUGUUCGGAAUCACUGGGCGUAAAGCGCACGUAGGCGGCUUCUCAAGUCAGGGGUGAAAUCCUGGAGCUCAACUCCAGAACUGCCUUUGAUACUGAGAGGCUCGAGUCCGGGAGAGGUGAGUGGAACUGCGAGUGUAGAGGUGAAAUUCGUAGAUAUUCGCAAGAACACCAGUGGCGAAGGCGGCUCACUGGCCCGGUACUGACGCUGAGGUGCGAAAGCGUGGGGAGCAAACAGG
rnacentral:rRNA from 1 species